GGCGGCAUGCCUUACACAUGCAAGUCGAACGGCAGCGCGGGGCAACCUGGCGGCGAGUGGCGAACGGGUGAGUAAUAUAUCGGAACGUACCCUGGAGUGGGGGAUAACGUAGCGAAAGUUACGCUAAUACCGCAUACGAUCUAAGGAUGAAAGCAGGGGACCGCAAGGCCUUGUGCUCCUGGAGCGGCCGAUAUCUGAUUAGCUAGUUGGUGGGGUAAAGGCCCACCAAGGCAUCGAUCAGUAGCUGGUCUGAGAGGACGACCAGCCACACUGGAACUGAGACACGGUCCAGACUCCUACGGGAGGCAGCAGUGGGGAAUUUUGGACAAUGGGCGCAAGCCUGAUCCAGCAAUGCCGCGUGAGUGAAGAAGGCCUUCGGGUUGUAAAGCUCUUUUGUCAGGGAAGAAACGGUGGGGGCUAAUAUCCUUCACUAAUGACGGUACCUGAAGAAUAAGCACCGGCUAACUACGUGCCAGCAGCCGCGGUAAUACGUA
rnacentral:rRNA from 1 species